AGGAGCCGUGCGAGAUGAAAGUCUCAUGCACGGUUUUGAAUGAGAGAAAGAAGUGAGGAACCUGCGACGAUCGAUGCAUACCGAUGCACAUCGAUCGAUUCCCACUCCGGUCAGGUUUAUCUUCCUAACUUGUUACAUUGAAUACUUAUGAUUUAUUUCAC
rnacentral:ncRNA from 1 species